rnacentral:rRNA from 1 species
CCUACGGGAGGCAGCAGUGGGGAAUAUUGCACAAUGGGGGAAACCCUGAUGCAGCGACGCCGCGUGAAUGAUGAAGUAUUUCGGUAUGUAAACCUCUAUCAGCAGGGAAGAAAAUGACGGUACCUGAUUAAGAAGCCCCGGCUAACUACGUGCCAGCAGCCGCGGUAAUACGUAGGGGGCAAGCGUUAUCCGGAUUUACUGGGUGUAAAGGGAGCGUAGACGGAAUGACAAGUCUGAUGUGAAAAGCCGGGGCUCAACCCCGGGACUGCCUUGGAAACUGCGCAACUAGAGUGUAGGAGAGGUAAGUGGAAUUCCUAGUGGAGCGGUGAAAUGCGUAGAUAUUAGGAGGAACACCAGUGGCGAAGGCGGCUUACUGGACGGUAACUGACGUUGAGGCUCGAAAGCGUGGGGAGCAAACAGGAUUAGAUACCCUUGUAGUC